AACCAGUGUUUUGUACUGAGCGGCGCUCCGUAGCUGGUACAGACUGUUGUGGUUGAAAUCAGUGUUUUAUCGUCGACAGCUGCUCCGCGGACCUUUACAGACGGAAUACCAUCACCAGAACCCGGUCAGAGCUGCAGGAGCGACCCGGUAGACGGCAGGACACGUAUUCGGGUCAGAAUGAGUUCUAAGGGAGGCGGCACCGCUCUGACCCGCCGGAACUACAGGCUGGCUUCAGACACCGACAAACCCAGACACACAGGAAUCGUGAACGAGAAGCUGCUCAGCGACUACCUGCACCACGUGUUUCCCUCCAGCAAGCAGGGACCUGCAGUGGCCUCACUCAGGAAGGUUCUGGGUUUCCAGGAUCUGAGUUCUCAUCUGGAGAAACUUCUGACUGAAGAUGAACCUGAGGAGAGUUCAGAUCAGACUGAAGGACGUCUGGGUCCUCAACCCGUCGUCCUCGAUCACACCAGCGGCUUCGAAGGACUGCUGUUUGUAGACGACGACCUGCUGGGGGUGAUUGGCCACAGCAACUUCAGCUCCAUCAGAGCAACCACAUGUGUUUAUAAAGGUAAAUGGGCCUACGAGGUUCUGAUCUCCUCUCAGGGUCUGAUGCAGAUCGGCUGGUGUACACUCAGCUGUCGCUUCAACCAGGAGGAAGGAGUUGGUGACACUCCCGACUCGUACGCCUACGAUGGAAACAGAGUCAGGAAGUGGAACGUGACGACCACCAACUAUGGAAAGUCGUGGGCUGCUGGAGACAUCGUGAGCUGCCUGAUCGACCUGGAUGAAGGAACCAUCACCUUCUGCCUGAAUGGUCAGUCUUUGGGGACGGCCUUCACCAGCAUUAAAACGGGUCCAGGAGUCGCCUACUUUCCCGCCAUCAGUUUGUCCUUCAAAGAGUCGGUGGCCUUCAACUUCGGCAGCCGACCGCUCAGGUAUCCGGUGGAAGGGUACCUGCCUCUCCAGAACCCUCCGGCUGCAGACCUGAUGAAGGCCCACAGACUGCUGGGAUACAUCAGGAACAUUCUGUCCACCUCCAUCGACAUUCAGGAGGAGCGGCUGCUGGAGAGGGACUGUGCUCUGUGGAAGCUUCAUGGAGAACCGACCGUCCUCAUCACUCUGGCUCAUAUCUUCAACCACUUCGCUCCUCUCAUGUGUAAAGUGUACCUGGUGGAGGACGUUCUGAUGAACUUCCUGUUGGGGAUCCUGGAGGGAGGAGGUUCUGUGGACGAACAUCCGCUGAUCCAGCAGCUGCUUGACCUCUUCUGGCUGCUCAUGGAGGACUAUGAGGUGAAUGAGUGUCUGAAACAGCUGAUGAUGUCGCUUCUCAGAGCCUACAGAUUCUCUCCCAUCAUCCCAGAUCUGGGUUUCCAGAUUCACUACCUGCGUCUGACCACCGCCAUCCUCCGCCAUGAGAAGUCCAGGAAGUACCUUCUGAACAACGUCUUGUUCGAUGUUCUUCGUUCUGUCGUCUUCUUCUACAUCAAGACUCCUCUGAGGGUGAAGGAGGCGGGGCUAGAGGAGCUCAUCCCCACCACCUGGUGGCCCACGCACUUCGACAAGGAGGGUAAAGAUGAGCGAGAACCCAAAGAUGAGAGUGCAGAUGAACGUCUGAGGCGUCGAGCCUACGAAAGAGGCUGCCAGAGGCUGAAGAAGAGGAUCGAAGUGGUGGAAGAGCUGCAGGUCCAGAUCCUCAGGCUUCUGCUCAACAACAAGGACAAAACUACGGGAGAAGCUUCUCGCUACAUUUUCCUCAACAAGUUCAGGAAGUUUCUGCAGGAAAACGCCAGCAACAGAGGGCAUCCCACAGCGUUGUGUCCUCCAGAGUACAUGGUGUGUUUCCUGCAUCGCCUCAUCACCGCCGUCAGAAGCUGCUGGGAGGAAAGCAGCCGCAAGACGGGGGGCUUCAGCAGCGAAGACGCCUAUGUCCCCCCCCAACUCUUCUACAAUGGGAAGGUGGACUACUUUGACCUGCAGAGACUCGGGGGUCUGCUGUCCCACCUGAAGAAGACCCUCAAAGAUGAUCUGGCUGGAAAAGCCAACAUCAUCAUCGAUCCUGCAGAGAUUCAGGCGACAUCUAUGGACGACCUGGACGAGGACGAGGAGAGUGGAGCCGCUCAGAGGCCAUUCGGGGCGGCGGCUAUGGGUGGAGCUCUGGCGAGGCCCAGCUGGCUGAGUUCUCCCACUCUGGGUCGGGCCAACCGGUUCCUGAGCACCGCCGCCGUCAGCCUGAUGACGCCCCGACGGCCCUUGACCCAGCCGGAGAAGGUGAAGGUCCGGACCCUGGCGGUGGAGCAGCGGACUGAGGAGGACAUUGAGGGUAGCCAUGGCAACGACGGUCUGUUGCUGGGACGACCGCUGGAGGAGCCGGACCAGGUGGUGGCCGACAAGUCGCUGCUGGAGAUCGUGGACGGCAUCGUGAUGAUGUACAACCUGAGCGUCCACCAGCAGCUGGGGAAGAUGGUGGUGGUUUCAGACGACGUCCAUGAAUACGCCGUGGCUCUGAAGGACACGGAGGAGAAGAUCGCUCGCUGUCCUGCCAGGAGAGCCGACAUCCUGGAUGAGCUCCAGAAGAGCCAGAAGGUUUUUGCAGAGAAGCUGAACCACCUGAGCAGGAGACUGGCCUGGAUCAACGCCACCAUCUACUCCAAGGAGAAGAUGAUGGAUGUCUACUGGCUGCUAUGUGUCUGCAUUCGGACCAUCGAACAUGCCGACAACACCGGCUCUUUGUUCGCUUUCGCUCCGGAGUUGUACCUCAACGUGGCCAUGAACGCUUACAGCGCCCUGAAGAACUACUUCAGCCCCGCCAACAGCAUGGAGGAGCUCCCAGGAUACGAGGAAACCCUGACUCAGCUCGCUGCUAUCCUGGCCAAGCACUUCGCCGACCCUCGCAUCGUUGGAACAGAUAUCAAAGACUCUCUGAUGCAGGCCCUCGCAAGCUACGUCUGUUACCCACAAUCCCUCAGGGCCGUGGAGAGGAUCCCCGAGGAGCAGAGGAAGCCGGAGUACCCGGAGAAAACCCACGCAUGCACAGGGAGAACAUGCAAACUCCAUGCAGAAAGAUCCCGGGAAAGCCGGGACGCGAACCAGGGAUCUUCUCGCUGCAGGGCGAAAGUGCUAACCACUACGCCACUGUGCAGCCCGGGGCGAGUGGCCAUGAUGAGGAACCUGCUGGCUCCGUAUGAACAGAGACCCUGGGCUCAGACCAACUGGAUCCUGGUCCGACUGUGGAGGGGUUGUGGCUUCGGCUACAGAUACACUCGACUGCCUCACCUGCUGAAAACCAAACCUGAAGACGCAAACCUGCCCAGCCUGCAGAGAGAUCUGUCCAUUGCUAGUUUCCAAAAGCCCUGUCCGUCACUGCUGCUGCAGAGGCACAUGGCCGAGCUGCUGAGCCUGGACAAGGACAUGGCCGCCUCCUUCCUCAACAGUGUCCUGAACCAGCUCAACUGGGCCUUCUCCGAGUUCAUCGGCAUGAUCCAGGAGAUCCAGCAGGCAGCAGAACGUCCAGAGAGGAACUUCGUAGACACUCGUCAGCUCAAGGUGUGCGCGACCUGCUUCGACCUGUCCGUCAGCCUGCUACGGGUUCUGGAGAUGACAGUCACUCUGGUACCGGAGAUCUUCCUGGACUGGUCCCGUCCUUCUGCAGAGCUGCUGCUGCGACGACUCGCUCAGCUGCUGAAUCAGGUGUUGAAUCGAGUCACGGCCGAGAAAAACCUGUUUGAUCGAGUCGUCAACCUGCGACUGCCAGGUCUAGAGAGCGUCGACCACUACCCCAUCCUGGUGGCCGUCACCGGCAUCCUGGUCCGGAUCCUGGUGGAUGGAGACCGGCAGGGGGUUUCUCGUGCUUCCUCCGUCCUGCUGUCUGACCCCUGUUUCCAGCUGCACUCCAUCCAGCACCUUCUGGGGGAGGCAGGAGACUCCUCUGGUUCCUUCGGUCCAUCAGGGCCAUCUGGUUCCUCAGGUUCAUCAGGUUCUUCUGGUUUCUCUGGUUCUUCGGCCGCCAUUGCCGCCCGUCCAGCUGUCGGAUCUUUGGGUUCGUCCGUGGCUCCUCCUAUCUCUACAGCCGGGAACUCGUCAGAGCGGAAACACUUCUCUCUGCAUGCAUACACCGACUACAUCAGUAAGGAGGAGAAGCAGAAGGUGGAGCUGAUGUUGGCGUUUCUCACUGAAGAGUCCAAAGAGGCUGCAGCCAGCACUGCGCCAACCAGUGAGGAGGAUCUCUGUCCCAUCUGCUACGCCCACUCCAUCUCCGCCAUCUUCAAACCCUGCUCUCACAAGUCCUGCAAGUUGUGUUCCCACCAGGACCUCCUCUAGCUUCGAAAUCCAAGGAUAUGCCCCAUCAUGAAGAGUCGGCAACUUCUCAGAGCCUGCAUCAACCAGCAUCUGAUGAACAACAAGGACUGUUUCUUCUGCAAAGCCACCAUCACUGGAGUGGAAGACUACAGCAAACCCACCUCUUAAUAAACGUGUUCUAGAAGAAACCUGCCAAACAUCAGACUACAUAUCAGUGACCCCAGAGCCUCUCACAGGUCUGAAAUGUCCUCUAUAAAAUCCACAGAACGACCUCCUUCUGUAACCUCUGGUCUGUUCAGGUCCGACUACAUCCACAUUUUAGACUGUUUUCAGUUAUGUCACAGUGAAGCAGCUUCAUGUGUUCUUGAAAUAAACUGCCUCAGAGAAAGACGCUCUGCCAAAGUUCCUGUUAGAAAUGCUGUUUACAGAAGGUUUUAGUGGUUUUCACCUGCUCUCUGUUUUAAUGCAGAUCCUAAAACACAAGAAGUUUAAUAAACAACUCCUUCAUUUACUGCAGCUGAGAGACACUCCAGGAAAACACAUUAUUGGCAUUUUGGGAUAUUUAGCUUCUAUAACACAUCUUCUUUCUGAACAGUGGAAAGAAAACAUCCAAAAAACACAUUUAUUAUUUAUUUCACUGAACUUCAUCUGUUGGACAUUUAUGGUAUGUUCUUUUUAUGUGAGUAAUAAACUAAAGUUUGCAAUGGAAAUCCAUGAAUUUAACAAAACAUUUCCUUAGAGCUGAUCCUGAAAUCUCCACUUCAUUUACCAAACUUACUAACAGUUUUAUUCCUGUCUGCAUUCUGAAGGUUUGUUUAGUUCAGAUCUCAUUUACAGCCUGAAACACACAUUUCAUUUUCAGAAUAUAGACACAAAUAAAACUGGAAUGUUUAAUAUCCAGUUAACCCUAACCCACAGUCCACCAACACACUGAGGUUAACUGGUGAUUCUAAACUUUCUGUAGGUCUGAAUGUGAGUUUACCUGGUUGUCUCCAUGUGUAGCCCUGUGAUAGGCUGUUACCUGUCCAGGUGAACCUGUGAUAGACUGGACACCUUUGGGUUAGGGGUAUUUUGGAAACUGUUGUGGUCACCACAUCACUUUGUUGGCUGAGGAUAAAGAGGUGUGUAGAUCAUGGAUGGAUGGAUGGAUGGAUGUUGGAUGGAUGUUGUGUAUGCUCUCACUUUGAAAGAAGAUGUAUUAUCGAAGCAAAUAGCCCAAAAUCUCUAAAUUCAAGCGCAUGGAAAAACAUGUUUUUAUCUGGGAUGUCUGCAGCCUAAAGACACUGAAAUGAAAGCAGAUUUUCAUUGGUUCUAUGUUUGGUUUCUGGAAGUUUGGCGUAAAGUUGGACUGUGUUGUUGUGGGACAGGAGAACAGUUCAAGUAUAAACGUGUCUAAGAAGAGAAUCUUUCUGAGUGUUUUAGGAAUAAACAGCAGGAGGUGGGACUCUACUCUCCUACCGUACAGUACAAUGUUUUAAUGCAGCCUAGUUUCUACUCUGCUACUUAAUUAAAGAGCUGCUUUUAUUUAUUAUUUUAUGCAGUAUUUUAAAAGUGCUCCAGCAGCAGACUCAGAGCAUCAGAGAGUUUGAAAUACGCACUUAUUUUAUUUAUCAUGGAUCUAGAGAACUUUCUCAGGUAAAAGAAAACACACCUGUAUUAAAUAAUCCAUGAAGUUACCUGGUUAUCUCCUGAAGACUCAACAUGUGUUCCUGUUGAAACAUUCAUCUGAAAUCCUUUAACUCUUUCAACUCCCAGUGGUUCCUGUCUCAUUUUUAAUCUAAAGUCCUGCAGCUCUUUGGAACGAGAACAUCAUGAAGGAGAGAAUCAGAGAUGUCUUCUGUCAGAACGAUGGAAACCAGACGAAAAAAAACUGUUCUUGGAAAAACCAGAAACCUUCAUGUCCACCAUGUUUCCUCAGACCUUAAACUCUAAACUAAUGUUGUCUCCUCAUCCUGCAGAUGUUUUUCUAUCUCCAUGUUUCCUCUCUCCUCUGCUCAUCAUCUGUAGAUAUUCCUCCAUGCUGGAUGGAUCUCCAACAACCUGCUCCUCUGUUCUCUGUUUCUGCUGCAUUUAUUUAUUGGUUUUCCUCUCAGUCUCUCUGAGGAAACACUGCCUGCAAACAUGUAGUUUCCAGAUGUUACCUAAACGCCUCACAGUCUUCAGUAGACACUGUAGUUUCCAGAUGUUCCCUAAAUGCCUCACUAGUCUCCAAACCUUAGAUUGAGUCCAGUUAGGAGCUCUGAUGUCACACUUACCUGAAACCAGGUGAGUUUAUCCACCUGGACUGUUCUCUGUUUGCAUUUUAAAUGUCUGAUAUCUCAGUUGGCCAUUUAGCUGUGGGAAGUUAAUGAAUAUUCAUUUAGUUGUGUCGCUCUGACACUUUGUCCAAACUGUAGAACCUUCAGUGAAACCUUCUGUAAUAAACCAACAGCUGGUUUUUAAGAACUUGUGAGGACAGUUAGCAGGACAUUUUGUGUAAAAUCCAGAGAAUGUAAAAUGUUAUUUUAUCAUAGAAAGCCAUGAAAAGCUGCAGAGCGACUGUUUGACAGCUUUAUAAAAAAAACAGCUGCUGAAUAAAAUCUGACUCACCAGUUCCUCCUAAUGUGAGAACAAGAUGAUGAACAUCUGAUGGGACUGAAGAGAAAACAGAAAAAUUGUUGUUACUACAAAGAAUAAUCAGGAUGUGUUUCACGUGGUGGCUGCAGAUGAUUAUGUCCCAGCAUCGCUCAGACAUCAUAAAACAUUUAUUGGAAACAGCAGCGAGUUCAUCAGUUUAAUGACAGAAUUCUCCAAGCUUGAACUGGUCUCUGACAUGCAGAGUUGAAGGAGCUCCAGGUAGAAGUUAUGACCCGAUGGAGCUGCAUGUGUUUGCUGUGAAACGUUUAGUUUGACCUUUAGACUGUAGAGUUCCAUUUGUGGAAAAAGUAAAGUUUCUAUUGCAGUGAACAAAA